rnacentral:rRNA from 1 species
CACGUGUAGCAGUGAAAUGCGUAGAUAUGUGGAGGAAUACCAAUGGCGAAGGCAGCCCCCUGGGAUAACACUGACGCUCAUGCACGAAAGCGUGGGGAGCAAACAGGAUUAGAUACCCUGGUAGUCCACGCCCUAAACGAUGCCGACUAGUUGUUGGGAAUUUACAUUCUCAGUAACGUAGCUAACGCGUGAAGUCGGCCGCCUGGGGAGUACGGUCGCAAGAUUAAAACUCAAAGGAAUUGACGGGGACCCGCACAAGCGAUGGAUGAUGUGGAUUAAUUCGAUGCAACGCGAAAAACCUUCCCUACCCUUGACAUGUCACUAACGAAGUAGAGAUACAUUAGGUGCCCGUAAGGGAAAGUGAACACAGGUGCUGCAUGGCUGUCGUCAGCU